UACGUAGGGCGCAAGCGUUAUCCGGAAUUAUUGGGCGUAAAGAGCUCGUAGGCGGUUUGUCGCGUCUGCCGUGAAAGCCCGGGGCUCAACUCCGGGUCUGCAGUGGAUACGGGCAGGCUAGAGUCCGGCAGGGGAGACUGGAAUUCCUGGUGUAGCGGUGAAAUGCGCAGAUAUCAGGAGGAACACCGGUGGCGAAGGCGGGUCUCUGGGCCGGUACUGACGCUGAGGAGCGAAAGCGUGGGGAGCGAACAGG
rnacentral:rRNA from 1 species